GCGUCGGUAGUGCAACGGUUAGCAUACGCUAAUGGAAAAAGUGAGAUCUGGGUUCGAAUCCCGGCUGACGCA